AUGUCUUCCUUUGCUGCUUAUUCCAUCUUUUUCCUCUUCUUCCUUCUCCAUUUUCUUAUUCGAUACCUAAAAGUUGUUUUCGGAUAUCAUCGAAGGAAUAUCGUCGUCACGGUUUCUUGUCUGGGGUUUCUCGUCUAUGGUUUAGUGGUGUUGAAUCAAUUUAUUUCUUGGUUUGAUCUUGCAGAUGAUAUCGACGAAGAGAGCCGAAAGAACGUAAGUGGGAUAAUCGGUAUUAAGAAAAUGAAAACGGGUAGAUGA